rnacentral:rRNA from 1 species
CACUCCUGCGGGAGGCAGCAGUAGGGAAUCUUCGGCAAUGGGGGCAACCCUGACCGAGCAACGCCGCGUGAGUGAAGAAGGUUUUCGGAUCGUAAAGCUCUGUUGUAAGUCAAGAACGAGUGUGAGAGUGGAAAGUUCACACUGUGACGGUAGCUUACCAGAAAGGGACGGCUAACUACGUACCAGCAGCCGCGGUAAUACGUAGGUCCCGAGCGUUGUCCGGAUUUAUUGGGCGUAAAGCGAGCGCAGGCGGUUUGAUAAGUCUGAAGUUAAAGGCUGUGGCUCAACCAUAGUUCGCUUUGGAAGCUGUCAAACUUGAGUGCAGAAGGGGAGAGUGGAAUUCCAUGUGUAGCGGUGAAAUGCGUAGAUAUAUGGAGGAACACCGGUGGCGAAAGCGGCUCUCUGGUCUGUAACUGACGCUGAGGCUCGAAAGCGUGGGGAGCGAACAGGAUUAGAUACCCCAGUAGUCCC